rnacentral:rRNA from 1 species
UACAGAGGGUGCGAGCGUUGCUCGGAAUCACUGGGCGUAAAGCGCACGUAGGCGGAUUGCUAAGUCAGGGGUGAAAUCCUGGAGCUCAACUCCAGAACUGCCUUUGAUACUGGCGAUCUCGAGUCCGGGAGAGGUGAGUGGAACUGCGAGUGUAGAGGUGAAAUUCGUAGAUAUUCGCAAGAACACCAGUGGCGAAGGCGGCUCACUGGCCCGGUACUGACGCUGAGGUGCGAAAGCGUGGGGAGCAAACAGG